rnacentral:rRNA from 1 species
AGUGAACGCUGGCGGUAGGCCUAACACAUGCAAGUCGAACGGCAGCACAGUAAGAGCUUGCUCUUACGGGUGGCGAGUGGCGGACGGGUGAGGAAUACAUCGGAAUCUACUUUUUCGUGGGGGAUAACGUAGGGAAACUUACGCUAAUACCGCAUACGACCUACGGGUGAAAGCAGGGGAUCUUCAGACCUUGCGCGAUUGAAUGAGCCGAUGUCGGAUUAGCUAGUUGGCGGGGUAAAGGCCCACCAAGGCGACAAUCCGUAGCUGGUCUGAGAGGAUGACCAGCCACACUGGAACUGAGACACGGUCCAGACUCCUACGGGAGGCAGCAGUGGGGAAUAUUGGACAAUGGGCGCAAGCCUGAUCCAGCCAUACCGCGUGGGUGAAGAAGGCCUUCGGGUUGUAAAGCCCUUUUGUUGGGAAAGAAAAGCAGCAGGUUAAUACCCCGCUGUUCUGACGGUACCCAAAGAAUAAGCACCGGCUAACUUCGUG